rnacentral:rRNA from 1 species
CGUAGGUGAACCUGCGGAAGGAUCAUUAUUGAAUAAACUUGAACAGGCUGUUGCUGGCUCCCCCCCAAGGGAGAAUGUGCACGCUUGUCAUCUUUAUCUCUCCAACUGUGCACAUAUUGUAGACCUGAGGGUGUUUUUUUCGAAUUACUUUCGAGUUGGGGGACUGCUGUGCUUUUUCAUCUAGAGUCGGCUUUCCCUCGUAUUUUUCAGGUCUAUGUCAUUUUCACAAACCUAUGAACCUGUUCAGAAUGUUGAAUCAAGGUGCUUCUGUACCUAUAAAGUUAAAUAUACAACUUUCAGCAACGGAUCUCUUGGCUCUCGCAUCGAUGAAGAACGCAGCGAAAUGCGAUAAGUAAUGUGAAUUGCAGAAUUCAGUGAAUCAUCGAAUCUUUGAACGCAUCUUGCGCUCCUUGGUAUUCCGAGGAGCAUGCCUGUUUGAGUGUCAUCUAAGUCCUCAAACCACAUUGAUUGUUUUCAGUGUGGUUUGGAUGUGGGGGUUUUUGCAGGCUUUAGAAAUGAAGUCUGCUCCUCUGAAAUGCAUUAGUGGUAUCUGAGCAGAAGAACUACUACAGGUGUGAUAAUUUAUCUAUGCCUUGGUAAUGCUGCAUGAACGGAUUGCACUGCUUCCAACCCAAAAAAAGUUUUUAUUUUGGAGACCUCAAAUCAGGUAGGACUACCCGCUGAACUUAAGCAUAUCAAUAAGCGGAGGAAAAGAAACUAACAAGGAUUCCCCUAGUAACUGCGAGUGAAGCGGGAAAAGCUCAAAUUUGAAAUCUGGCGGUUCUUGACCGUCCGAGUUGUAAUCUAGAGAAGU